GAUGAAGAACGCAGCGAAAUGCGAUAAGUAAUGUGAAUUGCAGAAUUCAGUGAAUCAUCGAAUCUUUGAACGCAUCUUGCUCUCCUUGGUAUUCUGAGGAGCAUGCCUGUUUGAGUGUCAUUAAAUUCUCAACUACACUGACUUUGAAUUGGUGUGGCUUGGAUUUGGGGGGAAAAUUGUUGUGGGCUUUUUGUAUAGUCUGCUCCCCUGAAAUUGAUUAGCGGUACCUUUGUGGAACUGUCUACAGGUGUGAUAAUUAUCUACAUCUUAGACAUCUGCUGGAAUGCUGCUCUCUAAACCUUACUUGUAUUGACAAUCUUGACCUCAAAUCAGGUAGGACUACCCGCUGAACUUAAGCAUAACAAUAAGCGGAGGA
rnacentral:misc_RNA from 1 species